GUAGAUAGCUUAACCUUCGGGAGGGCGUUUACCACGGUGUGGUUCAUGACUGGGGUGAAGUCGUAACAAGGUAGCCCUAGGGGAACCUGGGGCUGGAUCACCUCCUUAACGA
rnacentral:rRNA from 2 species